GCCCCUGUAGCUCAGUUGGCAGAGCAGCGGACUUUUAAUCCGUGGGUCCUGGGUUCGAGCCCCAGUGGGGGCACCA
rnacentral:tRNA from 6 species